rnacentral:rRNA from 1 species
CCUACGGGUGGCAGCAGUGGGGGAUAUUGCACAAUGGGGGAAACCCUGAUGCAGCGACGCCGCGUGGGUGAAGAAGCGCCUCGGCGCGUAAAGCCCUGUCAGCAGGGAAGAAAAUGACGGUACCUGAAGAAGAAGCCCCGGCUAACUACGUGCCAGCAGCCGCGGUAAUACGUAGGGAGCGAGCGUUGUCCGGAAUUACUGGGUGUAAAGGGAGCGUAGGCGGGACUGCAAGUUGGGUGUCAAAUCUACCGGCUCAACCGGUAGCCGCACUCAAAACUGCAGUUCUUGAGUGAAGUAGAGGCAGGCGGAAUGCCUAGUGUAGCGGUGAAAUGCGUAGAUAUACGGAGGAACACCAGUGGCGAAGGCGGAUUGCUGGACAGUAACUGACGCUGAGGCGCGAAAGCGUGGGGAGCAAACAGGAUUAGAUACCCUUGUAGUC